UGGGUAUCUGACACUGUGGAUCCUACCUGAAACAGUAGCUGGUGGUGCAUGGACCUACAACAUCACAUCUGCAGUCACAGUCAAAUCUGUC
rnacentral:miRNA from 1 species